rnacentral:lncRNA from 1 species
UGCUAUUUGUCUGAGUGUUGGAAUGGCUCCUGGACUACGGCAGUGAUUAUGAAAAUUCCAACCUUUGUCCCGAUUCCGGUUACUACAGAUCCAGAGUCUUUUCCUAUUGUUGAACUGAUUAGAGCCUGUAGAGAUUUUGGAAUUACGGCAGCUAUAGUGACAGCUGUGGCAGUGUCUCCUGCUGCAGCAGUUACAGCUGGAGUAGCCAUUGCCAGCCAGGUACAAACUGCUGCCACUAUUAAUCAGGUUAUUCAACAAACAUCCACCAUACUUGAAUCUCAAAGUAGAAUUAAUCAACACAUUUUGUCUGGGAUUCUGGCUGCUCAUCAAAGGAUAGAUCUGCUUCAAGCUCAAGUUGAGGAAUUGUCUGACCUACUACAUUUGGGUUGUAUUGAUCAACGUGCACAUUUAUGUAUAACCUCUGUCAGAUUCUAUGAUUCCAGAAAUGCCUCCCGCAUCAUCGGAGAGUAUCUAUCUGGAACCUGGUCCAUGGAAGCAGAAAACUUGAUCCAGUCUCAACUAACCCAGAUAGCUGUCUUGAACAGUACCUGUGUCGAUCCCGUGACUUUGGGUCAAUUCACCGAUUGGCUAUCUUCUGCUUUUUCCUUCUUCAAAGAGUGGGUGGGGGUAGGCAUUUUUGGUGCAAUGUGUUGCUUCGGUAUGUUCCUCUGUUUGUGGUUUCUCUGUCACCUUAAGGCCCGUAGUGCUCACGAUAAGGCUAUGAUCAUACAAGCUCUUGCAGCUUUAGAAAAUGGCAACUCGCCUCAAGUCUGGCUUGCGCAUCUUAAACA